AGUUGCAAAGCUUCCGGUUCUGGGGGAAGGCGUGGCUUCCGCGCUCUUUGAAAUGUCCGGCGCCGGAAUGUCUGGGUGCUUUGGUUGGAGAGGGUCCCAUUUCCAGUCAUUCUUCAGCCUGGUGAUUCCCGCGCUCCCCUGAGGAGCAUAUGAAAAAUUAGGAUUACCGAAAAUACUGAAGAAAGACUACCUCUGAUUGGACUCUUCUCAAGGAAUUAAUAAUUCAAGAACUAAGGAAAGAAAAAAGUGAUUAUAUGAAAAUACUGAAGUUGAUCGUAGCAGCUGAAGGCUGAUCCUGUGUGGGCUGAAGUACAUUGGUGCAAUCUUGGCUCACUGCAUCUCCACCCCAGGUUCAAGCGAUUCUCCUGCCUCAGCCUCCCAAGCAGCUGGGAUUACAGAAUGUCACAUAAAUGGAAUCAUACUGUGUCCGGAAUUGGUGGGUUCUUGGUCUCACUGACUUCAAGAAUGACGCCAUGGGCCCUCGCGGUGAGUGUUACAGCUCUUAAGGUGGCGCGUCUGGAGUUUGUUCCUUCUGAUGUUCGGAUGUGUUCGGAGUUUCUU
ensembl:lncRNA UBL7-DT UBL7 divergent transcript